UACGUAGGAGGCGAGCGUUGUCCGGAGUUACUGGGCGUAAAGCGUGCGCAGGCGGUUAUGUAAGACAGGUGUGAAAUCCCCGGGCUUAACCUGGGAACUGCAUUUGUGACUGCAUAGCUAGAGUACGGUAGAGGGGGAUGGAAUUCCGCGUGUAGCAGUGAAAUGCGUAGAUAUGCGGAGGAACACCGAUGGCGAAGGCAAUCCCCUGGACCUGUACUGACGCUCAUGCACGAAAGCGUGGGGAGCAAACAGG
rnacentral:rRNA from 1 species